rnacentral:rRNA from 1 species
GAGUUUGAUCAUGGCUCAGGAUGAACGCUAGCGGCAGGCCUAAUACAUGCAAGUCGAACGAGAUUCGGGGCUUCGGCUCCGAUGAAAGUGGCGCACGGGUGCGUAACGCGUAUGCAAUCUACCUUACUCAGGGGGAUAGCCCGGAGAAAUCCGGAUUAACACCGCAUAACAUGAAUUUGUGGCAUCACAGAUUCAUCAAAUAUUUAUAGGAGUAAGAUGAGCAUGCGUGACAUUAGCUGGUUGGUGAGGUAACGGCUCACCAAGGCGACGAUGUCUAGGGGAUCUGAGAGGAUGACCCCCCACACUGGUACUGAGACACGGACCAGACUCCUACGGGAGGCAGCAGUAAGGAAUAUUGGUCAAUGGGCGCAAGCCUGAACCAGCCAUGCCGCGUGCAGGAAGACGGCCCUAUGGGUUGUAAACUGCUUUUAUACGGGAAUAAACCUCCUUACGUGUAGGGAGCUGAAUGUACUGUAAGAAUAAGGAUCGGCUAACUCCGUGCCAGCAGCCGCGGUAAUACGGAGGAUCCAAGCGUUAUCCGGAUUUAUUGGGUUUAAAGGGUGCGUAGGCGGCUUAUUAAGUCAGGGGUGAAAGACGGUGGCUCACCAUCGCAGUGCCUUUGAUACUGAUGAGCUUGAAUUUCCUGAGGUAGGCGGAAUGUGACAAGUAGCGGUGAAAUGCAUAGAUAUGUCACAGACACCAAUUGCGAAGGCAGCUUCUAAAGUAAUAUUGACGCUGAGCCACGAAAGCGUGGGGAUCAACCAGGAUUAGAUACCCUGGUAGUCCACCCCUUAAACGAUGAACACUCGAUGUUGGCGAUAUACAGUCAGCGUCUAAGCGAAAGCGUUAAGUGUUCCACCUGGGGAGUACGCCCGCAAGGGUGAAACUCAAAGGAAUUGACGGGGGCCCGCACAAGCGGAGGAGCAUGUGGUUUAAUUCGAUGAUACGCGAGGAACNUUACCCGGGCUUGAAAGUUACUGAAGAAUCCAGAGAUGGGUUCGUCNUUCGGGACAGGAAACUAGGUGCUGCAUGGCUGUCGUCAGCUCGUGCCGUGAGGUGUUGGGUUAAGUCCCGCAACGAGCGCAACCCCUGUGAAUAGUUGCCAGCACAUAAUGGUGGGGACUCUAUUCAGACUGCCUGUGCAAACAGAGAGGAAGGCGGGGACGACGUCAAGUCAUCAUGGCCCUUACGUCCGGGGCUACACACGUGCUACAAUGGAUGGUACAGAGGGCCGCUACGCAGCAAUGCGAUGCCAAUCUCAAAAAGCCAUUCACAGUUCGGAUUGAGGUCUGCAACUCGACCUCAUGAAGUUGGAUUCGCUAGUAAUCGCGUAUCAGCAAUGACGCGGUGAAUACGUUCCCGGGCCUUGUACACACCGCCCGUCAAGCCAUGGAAGCUGGGGGUACCUGAAGUAUGUAACCGCAAGGAGCGUCCUAGGGUAAAACCGGUAACUGGGGCUAAGUCGUAACAAGGUAACC